GACGUAGGGCGCGAGCGUUGUCCGGAUUUAUUGGGCGUAAAGAGCUCGUAGGCGGCUUGUCGCGUCGUCCGUGAAAACCCGUGGCUCAACUGCGGGCUUGCGGUCGAUACGGGCGGGCUAGAGUUCGGUAGGGGAGACUGGAAUUCCUGGUGUAGCGGUGAAAUGCGCAGAUAUCAGGAGGAACACCGGUGGCGAAGGCGGGUCUCUGGGCCGAUACUGACGCUGAGGAGCGAAAGCGUGGGGAGCGAACAGG
rnacentral:rRNA from 1 species